CAAUAGCGUAUACUAAAGUUGUUGCAGUUAAAAAGCUCGUAGUUGGAUUUCUGUGCACCGGUUGUUGGUCCAACUCUAUGAGUUGGAGUUUUCAUCGGUGUACAUCCUGUUGGCAGACACGUGCUGGCAUUCAUUUGUCGGUGCGGGGAGACCACUCGUUUACUUUGAGAAAAUUAAAGUGUUCAAAGCAGGCAAUCGCUUGAAUACAUUAGCAUGGAAUAAUAGUAUAGGACUUUGAUCUUAUUUGUUGGUUUUAAAGAUCAAAGUAAUGAUUGAUAGGGACAGUUGGGGGCAUCAGUAUUCUGAAGCGAGAGGUGAAAUUCUUGGACCUUCGGAAGACUAACAACUGCGAAAGCAUUUGCCAAGGAUGUUCUCUUUAAUUCAGGAACGAAAGUUAAGGGGAGUCGAAGAUGAUCAGAUACCGU
rnacentral:rRNA from 1 species